UGAUCCUGCCAGUAGUGAUAUGCUUGUCUCAAAGAUUAAGCCAUGCAUGUGUAAGUGUAAGCUGAUUAAUGGUGGGACUGCGAAUGGCUCAUUAAAACAGUGAUAGUUUCUUUGAUGGAUCGUUUCGAUGGAUAACCGUAGUAAUUCUAGAGCUAAUACAUGCCAGUGUGUGUUAGAUAUCGCCCUUGUGGGAACAACGAUACACGCAUACCAUAUCGGGAGGUAUGGUGCAUCAUUCAAGUUUCUGCCCUAUCAGCUUUCGAUGGUAGUGUCUUGGACUACCAUGGCAGUGACGGGUAACGGAGAAUUAGGGUUCGAUUCCGGAGAGGGAGCCUGAGAGACGGCUACCGACAUCUAAGGAAGGCAGCAGGCGCGCAAAAUUCCCAAAUCCUGACUCAGGGAGGUAGUGACAAGAAAUAACAACACGGGGACCAAAAAAUCUUGUGAAUUGUAAUGGGAGCAAUUUUAAACCCCUCUCGAGCAACAAUUGGAGGGCAAGUCU
rnacentral:rRNA from 1 species